rnacentral:tRNA from 2 species
GGGGCUGUAGCUCAGUUGGGAGAGCGCAGGAAUCGCACUCCUGAGGCCGGGGGUUCGAAUCCCCCCAGCUCCA